CCGAGUUUACAACUCCCAAACCCAUGUGAACAUACCUCAAUUGCUUCGCGGACUCCCGGCGCGCCUCCGACCCCGCUCCCGGGGAUCGGACCUACCCGGACCCAGGCCCCGCCAGAGGUACCCCUAAACUCUUGUCUUCAUAUAUGUAACUUCUGAGUGCAAACCAUAAUAAAUCA
rnacentral:misc_RNA from 1 species